CUUUCAAAUUAUUUGAAACGAGCGAUUAAUAAGCAAGCAGUGGGUGGCUAUUCACAUUGCACAAUGUCUCGGUGUGCGCUAAGCUCUCACCGCGAACGAAUAUAUAAAUGACGUCAGCUUCUAGAACGGUUCGGGCGUCGACUGCAGCGAAACAACAGCUUAUUCCGAAAAUAUUUAGUUCUACUUUUUGACACUCUUAAAGCAGUGGCGGUAGUAUAGCGUCAUUGCUGCCAAUAAAAAAUAUCAACUUAAGUCAAA